UACGAAGGGUGCAAGCGUUAAUCGGAAUUACUGGGCGUAAAGCGUGCGUAGGUGGUUUGUUAAGUCUGCUGUGAAAGCCCUGGGCUCAACCUGGGAAUGGCGGUGGAUACUGACAAGCUAGAGUGCGGUAGAGGAGGGUGGAAUUCCCGGUGUAGCGGUGAAAUGCGUAGAGAUCGGGAGGAACAUCAGUGGCGAAGGCGGCCCUCUGGACCAGCACUGACGCUGAGGCGCGAAAGCUAGGGGAGCAAACGGG
rnacentral:rRNA from 1 species